GCAUAUGACUACUGGCAGGAUCAACCAGGUAGCAUUCCUCAUUUGACAUCAACAACGCAUGAGACCAUCCGUAAGGAUUCGUUCAACACGUGCAUGAUUGUCAUUCGCACGAAGCGUGGRACGCUGGAUUUGGGGCAAACCAAGGUUGAAGUGACCUUGUACCCGCUCAAUGUUCCGUACCCGAGAUACCACGCACAACAUCAUGGUUCAACAAUCCAAGCACAGCUAAGUGGCAUGAGAAGUGAAACACAGUGAGUGCUACAAAGUCCACCAAACGCUGCAUCCCAAAGAAGGGUUCAACGCUAGAUGGAUGGCCRAAUAUUCCAACAAAGCAAUGCCCUCAAAUUAGGAACUCAACACAGGAAACCAAAACGAUCAAGACAUGCUUAAUCCGACAACUGAAAAGGGAUGCACAACACACUGUCGCUGCUCAAGCAGGGAUCCAACGUGUCAAUGCAAACCAAACACCACUCA
rnacentral:misc_RNA from 1 species